AUUGAACGCUGGCGGAAUGCUUCACACAUGCAAGUCGAACGGCAGCAUAGGUGCUUGCACCUGAUGGCGAGUGGCGAACGGGUGAGUAAUACAUCGGAACGUGCCCAGUCGUGGGGGAUAACGUAGCGAAAGUUACGCUAAUACCGCAUACGAUCUAAGGAUGAAAGCGGGGGACCGUAAGGCCUCGCGCGAUUGGAGCGGCCGAUGUCAGAUUAGGUAGUUGGUGAGGUAAAGGCUCACCAAGCCGACGAUCUGUAGCUGGUCUGAGAGGGCGACGAGCCACACUGGGACUGAGACACGGCCCAGACUCCUACGGGAGGCAGCAGUGGGGAAUUUUGGACAAUGGACGCAAGUCUGAUCCAGCCAUUCCGCGUGCAGGACGAAGGCCUUCGGGUUGUAAACUGCUUUUGUACGGAACGAAAAAGCUCUUACUAAUACUAGGAGUCCAUGAUGGUACCGUAAGAAUAAGCACCGGCUAACUACGUGCCAGCAGCCGCAGUAA
rnacentral:rRNA from 1 species